AAUCUACUCAAUGCCUUCUAGAAUGAACAAAUCAAACCAGAGUCACCGCCAUGCCUGUGAUUUUCUUGGGCAGACACCCAGCUGUUCGUUUCUUCUGCAGCCCAAUGAUAUCAGCUAGAAAAUCAGAUGAUGGAAAAGGCAACGGAAUUUCUGCAAAUAACGUAACAGGACCACUGUGAGAACUAAAGAUGACGCACGCAGCAUGAUUGAUGUAGGCUGAGCACACAGGUAGCAUUCAAGAAAUGAAGCACAAAAGAAAAUGGACGCCCAAGGAGAUUGAAUAGGGCUCACCAACUGAAGUGCCCGCAGGGGCCAAUACAUGAGCCAGUCCAGUAGAAACUGGUGGAGGCUGUGGGAGAAUGGAGAGCACACGUCUCCUGUGAAGAUGACAGCUGCUAUUCAGCUCCAGGGAAAUCCAAACCCAAGUAGAACCAGGAAAUGUGUAGCUGACUCAGUCUCCACAGUACAAAAACCACAACGUUGCUCAGGUGGUUUUGGUGAAAAAGCUGGCACCAGCUGUUGAAAAAUCAAGCCAACACAGCUAAGAGUGAUACCGGCAUACAGAAGGGAAGUGUGGGAAAAAGCAGUGAGCAACAGCUAAUGGAGUUUAUCGUCACUCACUGACUGCCUGGAAAUUAAAAACUGCUGUUACUGCCCAGAGUUCAAAUACAGACUCUUGAGUUAAUUAUUUAUUACAUUCAAAUUAAGUACAAUUGCAUGUGCAAAUUAAUGUAUUCAAAUCCAAAAUUCCGUUAAAAUGUGUUUCAAAUCUUAAAAUC